UCUAGGCACUGUCCAGAAGGAGAGGUGUUGGAGAAACAGCCAAAGAGGAAAAGGUCUGGGGAGUACUAACUGUGAAAGAAGUUAUAUGACCUGCCGACUCGGAGGUUGCUCUGGUUCUGCUCGACAGCAUGUGUACCAGGCUGGCCAGCUGUCAGUCACAACCAUGACCCGUCAGUCUACAGCGAAGGCCUGUGUGACAACACCGCAAGCCUGCAAACUCUGGUGGAUCCUAUCCAGGAGAUAAGAGGCUGGCAGACGAGACGGGACAAACGCAGGCAUGGCUCGCCUCAACUGGUGCCUGGCUGCCGUCAUCAGCUGGGGCAAGUUCCUCUUCGCCUGCUUCUUUCCUCUGCGGGGGGCCAAGCGAGACAAGGUGACUUUCUUCUACAAUAAAUGCCCCAAAAUUAUAUAUAAGGAAUUCUCACCCCGCAUGAAAUAUACAUCAGGAUGGGCCUUGUUCUCAAUCAUACCACCCAACCAUUACAUGCAUACUGCCAGAUUUACUCACACCACCAAAUGACGUAGCUCUGAAAACAAGCUUGGCGACUGGUCAUGGACCAUGGGGCUCUGGAAGACUGGUUGGUGCCUCUCUAAGUGCUGAUUCAAGGUCAGUGUUACAUCUCCAAGUGGUCUCCAGGCAGCUGCUCCAGAUAAAGAUGGUGGGGAACCAUGGGGAUCAUAGAUUUUGGAUUUGCUACUAGAGCCAGGCACUUGCAGCAACCACCUGGAACAAAUGGUAGUUGCUCCUGAUACGUAGGGUCACCUUGCAUUCACAGCUGCAGAAUUGUAAUGCACCAUUAUUGGGGUUAUGUGUAUUCCCAACUUUUGAUUUCCCGCUGUUCAUCUCCUGCCAUUGCAUGUCCUUCUGUGUUUGUUCGUUUUUGAUGAAGGGGGUUGUGAGUCUUUCAUCGCUGCGCCAUAUUCCGAUGAUCAUAUGGCACAUGUAUAUGAUCAAGAAAGGCCAAACGGAGUUCAUUGAAUGGGAUAAGCUGAAUGCACAUACUCUGUU